CUUCCCAGGGGAACGCAGGGCCCCGCUACUCAUCCCGGCUGAGGAUUCCACAUGGAGCAAUGCCUGUGACUACCCUUGGAUUCUCUGCCUUAACGUUCCCAAGAAAUUGUGGAUGACGGAGCCAUGGGGGCCUCAAAAGCCAGUGGGGUGAAGAGCAGCAGCAGGAAGCGAAAGAAUGAGUUGGAAAAGGGGCAGGAUAAGCCAAAGACGCUCCCAGUGAGGAAGAAGAAAAAGAAGGAGCUGGAAUGCACAGUGAAGCCUUCCAUGGGAAAAGGGAAGAAGAAACCAUCAAAAGUCAAGGAAAAGCCACUGCAGGAGAACAUCAUCAGCAG